rnacentral:rRNA from 1 species
UCAAGCGAACAAGUGCAUGUGGUGGAUGCCUUGGCGAUCACAGGCGAUGAAGGACGCGGUAGCCUGCGAAAAGCUACGGGGAGCUGGCAAACGAGCUUUGAUCCGUAGAUGUCCGAAUGGGGAAACCCGGCCCUUUUGGGUCAUCCUAGACUGAAUACAUAGGUCUAGUGAAGCGAACGCGGUGAACUGAAACAUCUAAGUAACCGCAGGAAAAGAAAUCAACCGAGAUUCCCAAAGUAGUGGCGAGCGAAAUGGGAUGAGCCUUGCACUCUUUAUUUGUAUUGUUAGCCGAACGCUCUGGAAAGUGCGGCCAUAGCAGGUGAUAGCCCUGUAGGCGAAAACAGUAUGAAAGAACUAGGUGUGCGACAAGUAGGGCGGGACACGUGAAAUCCUGUCUGAAGAUGGGGGGACCAUCCUCCAAGGCUAAAUACUCGUGAUCGACCGAUAGUGAACCAGUACCGUGAGGGAAAGGCGAAAAGAACCCCGGGAGGGGAGUGAAAUAGAUCCUGAAACCGCAUGCAUACAAACAGUCGGAGCCUCGUAAGGGGUGACGGCGUACCUUUUGUAUAAUGGGUCAGCGACUUACGUUCAGUAGCAAGCUUAACCGUAUAGGGCAGGCGUAGCGAAAGCGAGUCCGAAUAGGGCGUUCAGUUGCUGGGCGUAGACCCGAAACCAGGUGAUCUAUCCAUGGCCAGGAUGAAGGUGCGGUAACACGUACUGGAGGUCCGAACCCACUAACGUUGAAAAGUUAGGGGAUGAGCUGUGGAUAGGGGUGAAAGGCUAAACAAACCUGGAAAUAGCUGGUUCUCUCCGAAAACUAUUUAGGUAGUGCCUCGUGUCUCACCUUCGGGGGUAGAGCACUGUCAUGGUUGGGGGGUCUAUUGCAGAUUACCCCGCCAUAGCAAACUCCGAAUACCGAAGAGUGCAAUCACGGGAGACAGACAUCGGGUGCUAACGUCCGGUGUCAAGAGGGAAACAACCCAGACCGCCAGCUAAGGUCCCCAAAUAUAGCUAAGUGGGAAACGAAGUGGGAAGGCUAAAACAGUCAGGAGGUUGGCUUAGAAGCAGCCACCCUUUAAAGAAAGCGUAAUAGCUCACUGAUCGAGUCGUCCUGCGCGGAAGAUGUAACGGGGCUAAGCUAUAUACCGAAGCUGCGGAUGCGAGCUUGCUCGCAUGGUAGGAGAGCGUUCCGUAAGCCUGCGAAGGUGCCUUGUAAAGGGUGCUGGAGGUAUCGGAAGUGCGAAUGCUGACAUGAGUAGCGAUAAAGGGGGUGAAAGGCCCCCUCGCCGUAAGCCCAAGGUUUCCUACGCAACGUUCAUCGGCGUAGGGUGAGUCGGCCCCUAAGGCGAGGCAGAAAUGCGUAGCUGAUGGGAAGCAGGUCAAUAUUCCUGCACCAUUGUUAGAUGCGAUGGGGGGACGGAUCGCGGAAGGUUGUCCGGGUGUUGGAAGUCCCGGUCGCUGCAUUGGAGAAGGCGCUUAGGCAAAUCCGGGCGCGUAAUUCAAGGGUGUGGGCGCGAGCUCCUUCGGGAGCGAAGCAAUUGGAAGUGGUUCCAAGAAAAGCCUCUAAGCUUCAGUCUAACGAUGACCGUACCGCAAACCGACACAGGUGGGCGAGAUGAGUAUUCUAAGGCGCUUGAGAGAACUCGGGAGAAGGAACUCGGCAAAUUGGUACCGUAACUUCGGGAUAAGGUACGCCCUUGUAGCUUGACUGGCCUGCGCCAGGAGGGUGAAGGGGUUGCAAUAAACUGGUGGCUGCGACUGUUUAAUAAAAACACAGCACUCUGCAAACACGAAAGUGGACGUAUAGGGUGUGACGCCUGCCCGGUGCCGGAAGAUUAAAUGAUGGGGUGCAAGCUCUUGAUUGAAGUCCCGGUAAACGGCGGCCGUAACUAUAACGGUCCUAAGGUAGCGAAAUUCCUUGUCGGGUAAGUUCCGACCUGCCACGAAUGGCGUAACGAUGGCCACACUGUCUCCUCCCGAGACUCAGCGAAGUUGAAGUGUUUGUGAUGAUGCAAUCUACCCGCGGCUAGACGGAAAGACCCCAUGAACCUUUACUGUAGCUUUGCAUUGGACUUUGAACCGAUCUGUGUAGGAUAGGUGGGAGGCUAUGAAACCGGAACGCUAGUUUCGGUGGAGCCGUCCUUGAAAUACCACCCUGGUUUGUUUGAGGUUCUAACCUUGGCCCGUGAUCCGGGUCGGGGACAGUGCAUGGUAGGCAGUUUGACUGGGGCGGUCUCCUCCCAAAGCGUAACGGAGGAGUACGAAGGUACGCUAGGUACGGUCGGAAAUCGUGCUGAUAGUGCAAUGGCAUAAGCGUGCUUAACUGCGAGACCGACAAGUCGAGCAGGUGCGAAAGCAGGUCAUAGUGAUCCGGUGGUUCUGUAUGGAAGGGCCAUCGCUCAACGGAUAAAAGGUACUCUGGGGAUAACAGGCUGAUACCGCCCAAGAGUUCAUAUCGACGGCGGUGUUUGGCACCUCGAUGUCGGCUCAUCUCAUCCUGGGGCUGUAGCCGGUCCCAAGGGUAUGGCUGUUUCGCCAUUUAAAGAGGUACGUGAGCUGGGUUUAAAAACGUCGUGAGACAGUUUGGUCCCUAUCUGCCGUGGGCGUUGGAUAUUUGAAGGGGGCUGCUCCUAGUACGAGAAGGACCGGAGUGGACGAACCUCUGGUGUACCGGUUGUCACGCCAGUGGCAUCGCCGGGUAGCUAUGUUCGGAAGAGAUAACCGCUGAAAGCAUCUAAGCGGGAAACUCGCCUUAAGAUGAGAUAUCCCUGGGGACUAGAUCCCCUUGAAGGGUCGUUCGAGACCAGGACGUUGAUAGGUCAGGUGUGUAAGCGCAGUAAUGCGUUCAGCUAACUGAUACUAAUUGCCCGUAAGGCUUGAUCCU